CAUUCCCAACAGCAGCAGACCUCAUCUGUUAAUACCCCCUUUGCCUUCCAGCCUAUACCUGUUUCUCUGCAAAGCCCUUGUCCUCCUCCUACACAGAUUCCAUGACGACUGCAGAACCUCCUCCUUGAACUGCAGGGAUGGAGAACAGAUCCUGGAAUUAUGGAAGCCAGACCUUUACCUCCCUGGCAGGAGACAGAAAGAGACUUCUCCAGGGGAAUCAAGCCCAAGAAGAGAAACCCAAAGACGCUGUCAUGGAGGGCUCCCCAAUGAACAGCCCACCCAGAUCAGGCCAUCCACAAGAAGCUCCAGGGAUAUGAGCUCCACCAAAACAGGAGAGAGUAAACCAAGAAAGGAAGACACGAAAUAUAGGAGGCAGGACGAUUCAAAACAGGAGAGGUGAGAAAAAUCCCAGGAGGGGGCGGCAUGGAAGUCCAGGCUAACGGGGAUGCACUGGAGAAAGACAACCGGUCUCUGUGGGAACUUGGCUUUAUUUUUGCCACAUGUUACCACGUCCAGUGCUCUUCAUUCUGUUGCGUAG